rnacentral:rRNA from 1 species
UACGGAGGGAGCUAGCGUUGUUCGGAAUUACUGGGCGUAAAACGCACGUAGGCGGCUUUGCAAGUUAGAGGUGAAAGCCCGGGGCUCAACUCCGGAAUUGCCUUUAAAACUGCAUCGCUAGAGUUGUGGAGAGGUAAGUGGAAUUCCGAGUGUAGAGGUGAAAUUCGUAGAUAUUCGGAAGAACACCAGUGGCGAAGGCGACUUACUGGACACAUACUGACGCUGAGGUGCGAAAGCGUGGGGAGCAAACAGG